rnacentral:rRNA from 1 species
UUCGUAGGUGACCUGCGGAAGGAUCAUUAUUGAUUGUGAAUCGUCGCCUUCUGUGCUGGCCCCGGCAAGUGCACGUUGGUGGCUUUCAUCCAAUACCCCUGUGAACCUUUGGCCUCUAGUUGGCUUCGGCUGGCAGAGGAUUUACAUACAAACUCGAAUGUAAUGAAAGUACUUGUUGUGCACGAGCACUAAUGUAACAACUUUCAACAACGGAUCUCUUGGCUCUCGCAUCGAUGAAGAACGCAGCGAAAUGCGAUAAGUAAUGUGAAUUGCAGAAUUCAGUGAACCAUCGAAUCUUUGAACGCACCUUGCACCCUUUGGCAUUCCGAAGGGUAUGCUCGUUUGAGUGUCAUUGUACUCUCACACUCUCCAAUUCGGAUUCGGGUUGGGGAGCGGUGGACUUGGGUGUUGCUGCUUUACUGUGGCUCACCUCAAAUGUGUUAGUGCAACUCCUGGUUGGACAUAGUACGGCGUGAUAAGUAUCUUCGCCGGCACCUCAGAAGAGGGUGGCCAAUCGGAAGCUCUGUGCUUCAAACCGUCUUUGGACAAUCUCUGACAACUUGACCUCAAAUCGAGUAGGACUACCCGCUGAACUUAAGCAUAUCAAUAAGCGGAGGAAAAGAAACUAACAAGGAUUCCCCUAGUAACGGCGAGUGAAGAGGGAAAAGCUCAAAUUUUGAAUCUGGCGCCUUUGGUGUCCGAGUUGUAAUCUAGAGAAGUGUUUUCCGUGGCGGACCGUGCACAAGUCUCCUGGAAUGGAGCGUCAUAGAGGGUGAGAAUCCCGUAUAUGGCACGGACUCCCGUUGCUCUGUGAUACACUCUCAACGAGUCGAGUUGUUUGGGAAUGCAGCUCUAAUUGGGUGGUAAAUGCCAUCUAAAGCUAAAUAUUGGCGAGAGACCGAUAGCGAACAAGUACCGUGAGGGAAAGAUGAAAAGCACUUUGGAAAGAGAGUGAAACAGUACGUGAAAUUGUUGAAAGGGAAACGCUUGAAGUCAGUCGUGCCCUUCGGGAUUCAGCCUUGCUUCUGCUUGGUUUACUUCCUGUUGGGUGGGUCAACGUCAGUUUCGAUCGGAGGAGAAAGACUUGGGGAAGGUGGCAGCAUUCGUGCUGUGUUAUAGCCCCUUGUUGUAUACUUCGAUUGGGACUGAGGACAGCAGCGCGCCUUUACGGCCGGGGUUCGCCCACGUACGCGCUAG